GGCUCAGUGAAGGAAAGUAAAAACAAAAACAAAAACAAAAACAAAAACAAAAGAGCAUUAGUAACUCCAGCAGAAGUAACGUAAAUAAUUAUCUAAACAAAAAAAACAUAAAUACAAUCGCAUGCAAUAAUAUCAUACAGUAACUACCAUAACUAACAGCCAUAGGGGGGACAUAAGCUAAGCUAAAACACAAGUCAUCUAUGGGUAACCCUGCU
rnacentral:lncRNA from 1 species